GAGACCCCAGAUCAGGUGGGACUACCCGCUGAGUUUAAG
rnacentral:rRNA from 1 species